rnacentral:tRNA from 1 species
GGGGAUAUAGCUCAAUUGGUAGAGUGUUUGCCUCCUUUGCAGAAGGUCCUGGGUUCAAUUCCCAGCACCA